rnacentral:lncRNA from 1 species
UGUGAAUACACGUCUUGUGACUGGUGCUUUAAGAGAGCCCUUUACAGCAGAAAAGACCGACAAGGGGGAAGAAACAGUAUAGAACACAUGCCAUACAAUACUGAAGCAGCAGGCCAGCUGUCAUGCUAUUGACUGUAAGCUUUUCACUGGAGAGGAGAAUGGAUCUUGCUGUACAGCCGGCGUAGAGGGGUAGCUGUGAAGAAUGAAUUCGGCACCAGCAGGCCCGAAGGAGCUGCAGACUUGAAUGCUCCAGAGGUGCACAGCACUGUGUUCUCGGGAGCCAGCUCCAAAUGCAGUCCAGAUGUUGCCAACAUCGAGCUGGAGGUUCUCAGGCGGCAGUGGAGCCACAACAGAGGGGGAAAUGGAUUUUUAAAAUUCCACAGGCCUUCUGUUCGGUUUCCAUGCUGCGGAUUUCAUUUCAUGAACGCCGAGCGUGGUAGGUGCCAAGGAGCACUGUGGCCCCCAGAGAGUCUAAAGUGACUGCUGUCUUAAAGGGCUCCAAGGGCUUGGUCUCUGUGGGAUCUCCAACAUUUCAAUCUAAACAUGAUUUUGUAGGAUUUUGCUAGCUAUUGUACGUUAUUUAAGAAUAUUAUUGUUUUUUUUGCCGUCUAGAAUCCAUAUCGGUUUGUCUUAUCACAGAAAUGACAAAAAAGUUAGAGUAGUUUGAUGUAGGCUGUUUAUUUAUGAGAACUGUGAGGUGACAUUUUUUGCUUCUUAAAAAAACUGAAUUCAAAGUGAACUGAAAUCUCCCUUUGUGCCAUAGUACUGUAAAUGCCACAUUAGUUUCGAUAUAUAUCAAGCUAUCUAAUAGUUAUGGUUGAAUUUUAGUCCUUUUUCAUUCCUGUGAGAUAUUAAAAUUCUGUACUUAAUGAUCCAAGAAUCCAACCAAGCUGAUUGGUUCCUAAGUUACCAUCUACCCAUAUCAAUUAUUUUGCCUUCAUGACUCUUCAAGGAGUUGUAUUAUAGGGUUGUUGCACCUGGAGUUGUUUUGUUUUUUUAUAAAUUCCUAGACUACCUUCCCUAAAGGAUUAUGUGAAAUGGCAGAUGAUCUUACUCUUUAGUAACCUGUCAUUCCACCUAGUAGGGGAGGCGUUGAAAGAGACUGCUGUCACGCCAACUGGAACUGAGGCAGGUCCUAACAGCUAGUCAAAGAAGGUGUUACAGCAAAAGGAUGUGAGGAGGGGGUGCUUCUUAAACCACAGGAAAUGUAAAGAUAAACUCUUCUGUUUAGAUUUUAGAAGCACUAAGGUACAAAUUACUUAGUAUGACUGUACGUUUACAAUCAAACAGGAUUUUUAAAACUUCAUAAAUGAUAUAUCCUCAAAAGUAGCUCUGUGCUGUAUUUUGCCCUCUAUACGUAAUUAGAAAUUAUAAAAUUUUCAAAAGAAUUCCAGCCUUGUUCUUCAAAUGGUGUGUAAUACAAAUGAUGGCAAUUUCUGUCUUUUUUCAGGAAUAAAUGUUCAACUGACCAUGACACAAA